GGAUAUGAGGGUGAUAUGGUUGCAACAUCUGUUGCCAUUGAUUGCCAAGGCUGAUUUGGCUGAUCUGGCUGGCUAGGUGAGUGUCCCCUCCCUCCCUCACUGCCCCAUGUGUGUCCCUCCCGAAGCUGCGCGCUAGGUCCAAGAGGACGACCAUACUGGCUAGAGGAGGACCACUCUUCAGUCAAGGGUAUAUGAGUAGCUGUAUUCCUCUGCUAGAACCUCCAAACAAUCUCUCAAAUAAUUCUAAUCUUACGGUAACCAUUGUAGGUAUAUAAAAAAUGGAGGGAACACACAUUUUAUGAGACUAAAACAACUCUGAUA
rnacentral:snRNA from 1 species